CGUCUAAGAACGUGUUUUUUGUUGAAAAAUAAACUUACUUACUCACAAAUAAUUUAAAAAAUAUUAACUUGCUACUAAGUGAAAACAUGCUAUAAUAAUUUUGCCGUCAGAGAACGGUCUAUAAUAGAUUUUGAGAAUAUUUAGAAAAAAGUUGUUUUUUAUGAGACUAGUACGAUCCAGUUAAAGAGAAUCUCUUAAAACGUGACGGGAAAGCAAAAAGUACAACUUAUCGCCAUUCUGAAUAAAUCACAGUUUUUUCGGCUUUCGUUUCGCCAUAACAAAUUUAUUUUAUUUAAGAUGUAAUUACUUUGUGUCUGAUGGAAGCUUCUGUAGCCGUAACGGGAUGCAAGAAAAAUAGAGUACAUUUGUCUUUUUCAGGCUUAAUGGUCCUCGAGACGGUAAUUUUUUACAAUCUUUAUAAAUGGCGAUCUCGUCGACCGCACCCUUAUCAGAACAUUAGCAUGAUUUAGUAGCUUAAAGUAACUAAUAAUGAAUUUUUUAUAUUAAAUAGUGAGGGAGACUCAUUUAUUUUACAUGUAACAAAUAGCUUUUAAGCAUAUAUUAAUCCAAAGGGCUAUGGAUGCAAUUAAUGAUUUGUCUGCUUCCUAAAUUACCAAAUGUACUUCGGCAAAUAAAUAAUAAACUGAUCUACAUAAUCACAAUAGACCAAUCGUUAUAGUAUAUUAUGCAACGAGCAUUUAAUGAUGGUCAUUAUGAUGCGAGCAUGAGGAAUGCGAGCAUCAUAAUGGCUAUUAAAUGAGAGUAGUAUACAUGAUUUUGUCUAUGAUUAUUUACAACAAAAAAUAUAUUCAAAUUUAUUCAUUUUGUAACACAAACAAAUUAAGUAGUUACCUAUAUACUUAAUCAAAUUGAUUAUUUUGUUGAUACAUUUAUAUUUUGAAUAUUACAUUUAUUAAAAUGAAUUCGAGGUUAAAUUUUCAAUAUUCCUAUAGUCUUCAGACAUUUUCUUAAAAAGGUUUAAUCUUGUUAAUAAUUCAUAAUUUUAAUAACUAAUUUAUAACAUGUUCCAUAUAUAACGUAUAAAAACCUGCCCGUCGCCAUAUUGGAUGUAGCACAAAAGUGUCAAAUCAAUUGGUCCCAUUUAGUAAAUACAAAAUCAUCCCUUGUGUCGUAUCCCCUCUCUUCCAUAUCACUGGUCUGGGCAUUGCUAGUUGUGCUUGUACACCUCCAAUAGAGAACGUCAUCUCCCGAUUCUAUUGGUUAAAAAUCUGUAUCAUAAUGAAGCGCAUUAUAAUAUAGGUACGUGUUAAAAUUGUAAUUAUGUUUAUUUAAAAACCCUUUCAUUUGCCGGUUUCUACAUUUUUUCCUGGUUUAGUUAAAUUUUGUCAAUUAGGUGGUUGAAAAACAAAAAAUUUUGUAUCAAUAGUAAUCAAUAGUGUUUAUUGUAUUUAUAAAAAGUUCUGUUCCUUGAUUUGUAUAGUCGCAUAGAUUGUAUAGAUAUAAAUAGUAGGUAAAUCAUCUCUUUCCGAUUAUAGCGCCAUCUAUCAACAACUAGAAAUAUGUUCUAAAUGUGUAUAAUCACGGACGUACCGCUUUUUACGUCAAAUCCAGCUUAGUGCGUUAGAAAGGAAUCGAAACACUGUGACGCACUAAAAGAAGGCUCUGAGAAGAAUAUACAUGUAAAGAGAAAUCCCGAGAUACAAUAUCUGCUGUCGAGAUUCUCUUUAAUUUUAUUUUGAAGCAAGUAGCUGAGACACUAGCCAAGUAGCAAGAUAAAGUGAAGUGACAGUGACAAAAUGUCAUGAACAAACUUUCUUUAAAAUCAAUUAAUGUAAUAAAUAACAAGAAUUUAUUAAUGUAGAAUAAUUAGCUUAAAUUGUUGUUUCUUUGUAUUUUCAGAGCAACAUCAAUUUAAUUUUAAAAAAAUCAAAAGUCCCAAGUCCCAGUGUAACCCAAUACUAUGGGUAUUGUGAAUGAGAGGGAGUAAAAGGUACAAUUGAGAUAAAAGUAGAAGAGGGACGUUAUUGAAGAGAUUAAUUAAGAAGGACUUAGCUCAGAAGACUAACUUAAAUAGGCAGAGAGACACUAAAUCUCAAGUGGGAAGUUCGGGCUAGCUUUUUUUACACUAAAUAUUGGUUUUGAAAUAUGAAACAAAGAUAUUGGAUGAAGAUAUAGUAUAUACAAGGAAGAAAAUGAGACCCUUUUCUUAAUACAAAGACUCAAUGCGACUAGAUGAGACACUGGAAAUAAAAGGGUACGAACAGUACGAUAAGUGAAGAGGAAGAAAAUGGGCGCCAACUCGGGCUAUCUUGACCUAGAAUUUGAAAAGCUAAUUUUACUUUACCUUUAGUGAAGAAAACUACCUUCUGGACCUAGAAUUUGAACAGCUCGAGAUUUUUGUAACAAACAACAAGAAAUCAAAUAAAUAAAUGACACUGGAGACACUUUCCUGAAACAACGCAAAAUUCAAUAUUUACCUUGUAAUGCUAUGUUAUGUACUGUAGUAAGAACUGAAAUAAAAGGCACAAAUACUAUUGACAAAUAUAUUUAUAAUAAAUAUACUACAGAAUAUCAAAAUAGCUUUUACUUAUAUAUGUAUCAGCAUCAAUAAUAUAAACAAUAGUGGUGUAGAGAUAGAUACGGCAAAAAGACCACUAAAAAAUAACAAAAAUCACCACUAUUGUGCCAAGUAAACAAGUAUUAGUAAGAAUUCAAUAGUCAAGUCCGGGAGGAUAGCCAAAAGUCUUAACUUAAAUGUUAGUAAAUAAAUAAUGGUCCUGGGACUGACAUGUGUCCAAUUAUCUAACGUUCCAGAUCUAUGUGCUCGUAUUAUACUCACAACAUAGAUACUGGAUAUAUACAGAAAAUACUAGAUAUGAGUCGGUCAGAAACUCUUUUAAUUAAAUUCUGUUUGUAAAACCCUUUUAAAUAUGAAAAUUACUCUUAUUGAUAACCCUUUUAUACCCUUAUUUUUCUCUAUUAAAUUUUAAAACGUGAUUUAUUCUCAACUAUUAUUAUCCACUAUGAUUAUUUGAAAUCCUAUUUUAUUUAAAAAAAACAAAACUAGCACCCCCUCCCUAUUAAUUACAAAACUAGUCAAAAAUGUACCUGAUUAUGUGCACACAAAAAGUUUACAGUCUAAUAUAUUAUAAUUCUGAAGGAGAAGCAACCUGACUUUACUUUAACAACAAAAAAAUAAAUGCUUAUCUUAUCUUCCAAACUGUUUUCCCACGACGACAGGUCUAUUUAGGAUGAAAUCCUCUUAGCACUACAACAUCUCAAGUGUCUGGAAGGCUGUUUGAAAGGAAGCCAAGCUACUGGUGUCCUGUUGAUCAGUUAUGCAAAUAUAGGUAAGGCUUUCAACAAUUUGCCUUGGGAUGCUAUACAAUAUUCCAAGGAUUUGGACUAUGGGAUGCGGCAAAGUCUACAAAGUAACAUGAUGAAUAUUUAAAAGCUUCUAUGAGUAAUUGCAACAGUUUAGAUUUCCCGUACCAGACCAAACAAAACAUUACUGAUUCCUCCCAAA
rnacentral:lncRNA from 1 species